rnacentral:lncRNA from 1 species
UUAAAUAGUAUUUUGAAUUGAUUUUUUUUACGACUGAAUGCAGAUUCAAUUGGAAUCAAGGAAGAUUGUAGAAAAACUAGAAGAAAGGCCUUCAGAAAUAAAGAAAUCUUUGGCAGAAACGUAUUAGAGAUUCCAGUUGGUAAAUGGAGGUCAAUCAAGGCAAUUCCAUCAACAAAGCUAUAUCAAACGAGUUGGGAAUACUUGCUCGAAAGUUUCUUCCGCUUCCAAACAAGUGGAAGGACCUCACAAAAUAGGAGAAAGAUGCAACACUUAUUAGAUUAUCUAUUACUUUUCAAGACAAUUAUAUUUUUAUUGUAGAACAUAUUAGUUUGUCCUAAAUGUGACAAAAAUGGUCUGUCUCAGAAUGGCCUUAUCAAUACUAUAUAUUCUUUAAUUACGAAUUAAAAAAAAUAAAAAAUAAAAAGCUUAGUCUGUCUCAUAAUGGCCUUAUCAAUACUAUACUAUAUUCUUUAAUUACGAAUUAUCUUUGCAUUUUUUGACAAUCGCAAUUGUCACUUCAUGAUGAUUUAUAGUGACAUUUUUAUUUUGUUGGUAAAAUCAAUAUUUU